rnacentral:rRNA from 1 species
AGCGAACGCUGGCGGCAGGCCUAACACAUGCAAGUCGAACGGAUCCUUCGGGAUUAGUGGCGGACGGGUGAGUAACACGUGGGAACGUGCCCUUUGGUUCGGAACAACUCAGGGAAACUUGAGCUAAUACCGGAUGUGCCCUUCGGGGGAAAGAUUUAUCGCCAUUGGAGCGGCCCGCGUCUGAUUAGCUAGUUGGUGAGGUAACGGCCCACCAAGGCGACGAUCAGUAGCUGGUCUGAGAGGAUGAUCAGCCACACUGGGACUGAGACACGGCCCAGACUCCUACGGGAGGCAGCAGUGGGGAAUCUUGCGCAAUGGGCGAAAGCCUGACGCAGCCAUGCCGCGUGAAUGAUGAAGGUCUUAGGAUUGUAAUAUUCUUUCAGCGGGGACGAUAAUGACGGUACCCGCAGAAGAAGCUCCGGCUAACUUCGUG